GGGACGACGUGGAUGGGGUAGCAGGGCAGGACGGAGCACGCAGGCAGUUCGACAGGAGGAUGCAGAUCGACGGGGCAGGCAUGACAGGCAUGACAGCAGGGUAGAACUGAGCAGUCCAAACAAGCUGGACGGGCCUUCAGCAGUCUGAUACCACCAAUCGCAAGCUGCACAUUCGCCAUCGAGGCAGAGCAAGUCACUCCAUCCCUGGGACCCAGUAUCCUUUCCUGUUUUGCUGUCAGGACCUUUGGAGAGUUUGGGGACCAUGUAGAUCAGAAGGUCCUGUUCAAGCAUGAUGUCACCGUUGGCCAUUAACGCAGCACCGCCUUUGCCGCGUACUCGAUAAGGCACUUCCUGGGCCGUCAUUAAACCCAGACACAUCCAGCUCCUGAUCAAUCCUGACCUGUCCCAUUAGAAAUGCAGCAUUCCUUGUCCAGGGAGGAGGAAAUCUAUGAAUUUUAUGCAUUGAUCAACAGAUGACUUUUCUAGUCUCAUUUAUGUGCACAGCACUCCUCAUUUCAAAGUUUUCAUGGGUAAAAAGGAUACAGAAUCCAGCCAUGUCCUUCCGCUAGCAUUUACUUUGGACAGCUUUAUCCCCUGCAAGGAUAUCAGAUACUAAGGUGAUUUUGAUUGCUAAUGUAGGCAGGUGUUUAACAAACAUAGUGUUUGUCCAUUUCAGUUCGAAUGCUGUAUUCUUCUUGUAAUCCAUGCCUUUGCAGCCAUUUGGGGUCACUUGAAAGCUGAGUGCAAAGAUAACAUGACAAAGUUGCUGUGCGAAGGCCGGCAAGCUGAGCUUGGGGCUCAGGUUCCUGAGGCUACCAGAGACAGGGAUGAGCAUGUACUGGAAAAGUGUCCAAAAGAUGUCUGCAUCCAUAUUUAAAGAACUUCAAAUUUCAUACACACUCUAAUGCUAAAGUGUGUUCUGACAGGCGUAUUUGUGAUGCUGAAUCAUAAAUAAAACAUUUAUUAAGGAGGUAAAACCUGUGAUGAGCUCUCAGAAAUCAUAGUUCCAAAAAAACUUCAAAUUCAGUUUGCAUCUAAAACACAGACAGAAAUUCCUGCCUGGUGUGUAGAAGGGGAACAUGAAGCUGUCAUCCAGACUCCUGAAAAUGUUCAAUAUGAUAUCGCAUAUUCAUAUUACUUUCAUAAUGGUGAUUAUAUCUGCUGUAUGCAAAUAUUCAGGGUCGAUUGAUUCAAACCCCAGCUGGACUCUUUCCUCCUAAGCGAAAACAAAACUCUUUUCUCUUUAUUUUUAAUGAGACUUUUUUUCUGUUUGUGAUACGAACAGUUUUCAAAGUCUUGCCCGAUUUCAAGUUCAACUUUGAAACUACUGUGCUUGGAAUUAAAUAUCCAUGUUGUGUGUCAGAAGAUUUUUUUUGUAGAAUAAUUAAAAUAUAGAUCUAGUGAGCAGAAUGAAGAAGAAGAUAUUCUUUAUAGUAUGUGGGAGAUAAUGGAUUCAACAGAAUUUGCCAAGUCUGUAAUGUAGGUUUUAUAACUUUGCGCUUUGUUUUCAGUUUUUUCCUCUUCAGUCACUUUCAGUUUAUCAUUUGACAAACCGUAUGAUACAUUCUUUAAUACUUGAUACUGUGCUAUCAUAAAUAUGUAAUGUAUCCUGUUCAUUUGUUUCAUUAUCUACAAAUAAAAUUGAGAAUGAGUACGGCUAACUUGAUAUGUGGCUCUUCUGAGCUGGUUGCCAUAUUAUGGGUGGGUACCUACAUAUGCUGACAUGACCAAAAAACAUAAUGUAGAAUUUUUUAACUCCUAGCCGAUCUGUCCACUGAGCAGCCUUCUCUGAAGUGAGCUUGUGGGAUGUUGUCACAAAAGUGUCACAUAAUGUUGUGCGUUAUGGGAAGC